UGGGGAAUAUUGCACAAUGGGCGCAAGCCUGAUGCAGCCAUGCCGCGUGUAUGAAGAAGGCCUUCGGGUUGUAAAGUACUUUCAGCGGGGAGGAAGGUGUUGAGGUUAAUAACCUCAGCAAUUGACGUUACCCGCAGAAGAAGCACCGGCUAACUCCGUGCCAGCAGCCGCGGUAAUACGGAGGGUGCAAGCGUUAAUCGGAAUUACUGGGCGUAAAGCGCACGCAGGCGGUCCGUCAAGUCGGAUGUGAAAUCCCCGGGCUCAACCUGGGAACUGCAUUCGAAACUGGCAGGCUAGAGUCUUGUAGAGGGGGGUAGAAUUCCAGGUGUAGCGGUGAAAUGCGUAGAGAUCUGGAGGAAUACCGGUGGCGAAGGCGGCCCCCUGGACAAAGACUGACGCUCAGGUGCGAAAGCGUGGGGAGCAAACA
rnacentral:rRNA from 1 species